rnacentral:rRNA from 1 species
UACGGAGGAUGCAAGCGUUAUCCGGAAUGAUUGGGCGUAAAGCGUCCGCAGGUGGCUGUGUAAGUCUGCUGUCAAAGAGCGAAGCUCAACUUCGUAAAGGCAGUGGAAACUACACGGCUAGAGUGCGUUCGGGGCAGAGGGAAUUCCUGGUGUAGCGGUGAAAUGCGUAGAUAUCUGGAGGAACACCGGUGGCGAAGGCGGCAUCCUGGACCGGCAUUGACGCUGAGGAGCGAAAGCCAGGGGAGCAAACGGG